GGGGCUCGAGAAACACAGCACGGGGGCGUCACCACCAUGGCCUGGGCUUCACUCCUGCUCGCACUUGUGGCUCACUGCACAGGGGCCACUUCCCAGUCUGUGAUUCAGCAAUCCUCACUGAUCACGAACCCUGGGGGGACGGUCAUACUCACCUGUGGUGCCAGCACGGGGGCCGCCAUCACCACCGGUAACUAUGCUAGCUGGAUCCAACAGAAGCCCUACCAGGUACCCAAAGGUAUAAUAGGUGGUACCACCAACCGAGUUCCAGGGGUUCCGGUCCGAUUCUCCGGCGCCCUGGCGGGAGGCAAGGCCACGCUCACCAUCACGGGGGCCCAGCCGGAGGACGAGGCGGAGUAUUAUUGUGCUCUGUGGUUCAGCAACCAUUUGCACAGUGACAGAUGCAGGCGGGGAAGUGAGACAUAA